rnacentral:rRNA from 1 species
AAAUUGAAGAGUUUGAUCAUGGCUCAGAUUGAACGCUGGCGGCAGGCCUAACACAUGCAAGUCGAACGGUAACAGGAAGCAGCUUGCUGCUUCGCUGACGAGUGGCGGACGGGUGAGUAAUGUCUGGGAAGCUGCCUGAUGGAGGGGGAUAACUACUGGAAACGGUGGCUAAUACCGCAUAACGUCGCAAGACCAA